ensembl:snoRNA
CCUGGCUGUGAUGACACACUUGCCCUCACUGAUCUAGUCUUGAUUGAGACUUGUACUUCCUGAGCCAUA